GCCAGGCAUUGUGGCGGGCGCCUGUGGUCCCAGCUACUUGGGAGGCGGAGGCAGGAGACUCACUUGAGCCCAGGAGUUGGAGGUUGCUGUGAGCUGUGAUGCCAAGGCACUCUACCCAGGGGGAAAGCUUGAGGCUCUGUCUCAAAAAAAAAAUUAAAAUUAAAAUUAAAAAAAGAAACAGAGUUUCACUUUGUCACCCUCAGUAGAGUGCUAUGUAGUCACAGCUCACAGCAACCUCAAACUCCUGGUCUCAAGUGAUUCUCUUGC
rnacentral:sRNA from 1 species